rnacentral:rRNA from 1 species
AUGGACAAGUUCACCAAAUGGGCUGAAGUAGAGGCUGUCCGCACCAUUCCCGCGGGUUCCGCGGUCAAGUUCAUCAAGGGCAUCGUGAGCCGGUUUGGGGUGCCAAAUCGCAUCAUCACGGACAACGGUUCGCAGUUCACCAGUAACCUCUUCAAAACAUAUUGUGCUAACCUUGGAACACAGAUAUGCUACGCUUCGGUGGCGCACCCCCGAAGCAAUGGCCAGGCCGAGCGAGCCAACGCGGAGGUCCUGAGGGGCCUCAAGACCAGGACGUUCAAGAAGAAGCUGGAGGCCUGCGGCAGAGGUUGGUACGAUGAGCUUCAGUCCGUGUUGUGGUCCAUCCGCACAACCGCGACCAAGCCGACUGGAGAGACCCCGUUCUUCCUGGUCUAUGGAGCCGAAGCGGUCCUCCCUCACGAGGUCAGACGUCGCUCCGUGCGUGUCCUGGCGUUUGACGAGGCGCAGCAAGACGCCAUGCGGGGGAUGGACCUCGUGCUGGGGGAGGAACGUCGCCGAGAAGCCGCGCUACGAGCGGCGAGGUACCAACAAGCACUGCGACGAUAUCACUGCCGCAACAUCCGCCCCAGAACUCUCGAGGUAGGAGACCUCGUGCUUAGGCGGGUUCUCUCCAGGGAGGGGCUGCACAAGCUCUCUCCCAUGUGGGAGGGCCCAUUCAAAGUUGUUCAUGUUUCCAAGCCUGGCUCCACGUGCUUGGAGACUCAGGAGGGGGUGCCAGUGCAGAAUGCAUGGAACAUCCAGCACCUCCGGAGGUUCUACCCCUAA